CAAAAAAAACAUCCAAAAAGACAAAGAAAAAAAAUAUAAAGUAAAAUAUAACACCACAAGAAAAAAAAUUUACAUACAUGUUGUUUCCCUUUCUUAUCACAAUUUGGUUAAUUGGAUUUAAUUACUUUUAUUCGCCAACCGUGGACAAUGUGCAUUUGUUUAUAAAUUUGCAUUGUAGUUAGUAGCUACGACACAAUAACAACAAAAAAUGCAUAGCUUGUAAGUUGUUUUUUUUUUAAUAUUUUAGUUUUAAAAAUGUUAUUUUAAGUUAAGCAACUAUGAAAAAAUCCUCUUUGGGUUUCUUCGCCAAGGCUAGAAAGGUUCAUAAAAAGUAUUCGCCCAACAAGGUACAUAUCUUAACUUUAUAUUUGGGACACUGUGACAUCUUUAAUCCAUACAAGGGGCAGCACAUAUUAACGAGGAACUGCAAUCCAGUUUAAUUUAUCAGUUAAAAUUUAAAAAAUAGCAGUAAAUAUAUUUUUGCAGUGUCAUUAUUGUUGAAUAAACUAUUAUUAAAUAUGGUUUA
rnacentral:sRNA from 1 species